rnacentral:rRNA from 1 species
CCUACGGGUGGCAGCAGUGAGGAAUAUUGGUCAAUGGACGAGAGUCUGAACCAGCAAAGUAGCGUGAAGGAUGACUGCCCUAUGGGUUGUAAACUUCUUUUAUAUGGGACUAAAAUGUUCAACGUGUGGGAUUUUGUAUGUACCAUAUGAAUAAGGAUCGGCUAACUCCGUGCCAGCAGCCGCGGUAAUACGGAGGAUCCGAGCGUUAUCCGGAUUUAUUGGGUUUAAAGGGAGCGUAGGUGGAUUGUUAAGUCAGUUGUGAAAGUUUGCGGCUCAACCGUAAAAUUGCAGUUGAAACUGGCAGUCUUGAGUACAGUAGAGGUGGGCGGAAUUCGUGGUGUAGCGGUGAAAUGCUUAGAUAUCACGAAGAACUCCGAUUGCGAAGGCAGUUCACUGGACUGCAACUGACACUGAGGCUCGAAAGUGUGGGUAUCAAACAGGAUUAGAUACCCUAGUAGUC